rnacentral:rRNA from 1 species
UACGGAGGGUGCAAGCGUUAAUCGGAAUUACUGGGCGUAAAGCGUGCGCAGGCGGUUUGUUAAGUCUGCUGUGAAAUCCCCGAGCUCAACUUGGGAAUUGCAGUGGAUACUGGCAGGCUGGAGUAUGGUAGAGGAGGGUGGAAUUCCCGGUGUAGCAGUGAAAUGCGUAGAGAUCGGGAGGAACACCAGUGGCGAAGGCGGCCUUCUGGACCAAUACUGACGCUCAUGCACGAAAGCGUGGGGAGCAAACAGG